GAACGGGUAUUAGCUUGCUAAUACUGUCAGCUAAGUGGCGCACGGGUGAGUAAUAUAUAGGUAAUGGUGCCCUAGAGAGGGGGAUAACAGUUGGAAACGACUGCUAACACCCCAUAUGCCUUUAAAACAUAAGUUUGCAAGGGAAAUAUUUAUAGCUCUAGGAUCGGCCUGUACGGUAUCAGCUAGUUGGUGAGGUAAUGGCUCACCAAGGCAAUGACGCCUAACUGGUUUGAGAGGAUGAUCAGUCACACUGGAACUGAGACACGGUCCAGACUCCUACGGGAGGCAGCAGUGGGGAAUAUUGCACAAUGGGGGAAACCCUGAUGCAGCAACGCCGCGUGGAGGAUGACACAUUUCGGUGCGUAAACUCCUUUUAUAUAGGAAGAUAAUGACGGUACUAUAUGAAUAAGCGCCGGCUAACUCCGU
rnacentral:rRNA from 1 species